UAGAGGAAGUAAAAGUCGUAACAAGGUCUCCGUUGGUGAACCAGCGGAGGGAUCAUUACUGAGUUUACGCUCUAUAACCCUUUGUGAACAUACCUAUAACUGUUGCUUCGGCGGGUAGGGUCUCCGCGACCCUCCCGGCCUCCCGCCCCCGGGCGGGUCGGCGCCCGCCGGAGGAUAACCAAACUCUGAUUUAACGACGUUUCUUCUGAGUGGUACAAGCAAAUAAUCAAAACUUUUAACAACGGAUCUCUUGGUUCUGGCAUCGAUGAAGAACGCAGCGAAAUGCGAUAAGUAAUGUGAAUUGCAGAAUUCAGUGAAUCAUCGAAUCUUUGAACGCACAUUGCGCCCGCCAGCAUUCUGGCGGGCAUGCCUGUUCGAGCGUCAUUUCAACCCUCAAGCUCUGCUUGGUGUUGGGGCCCUACAGCUGAUGUAGGCCCUCAAAGGUAGUGGCGGACCCUCCCGGAGCCUCCUUUGCGUAGUAACUUUACGUCUCGCACUGGGAUCCGGAGGGACUCUUGCCGUAAAACCCCCAAUUUUCCAAAGGUUGACCUCGGAUCAGGUAGGAAUACCCGCUGAACUUAAGCAUAUCAAUA
rnacentral:rRNA from 1 species